rnacentral:tRNA from 1 species
GGUAGCGUAGCUCAAUUGGCAGAGCGGGUCUUCCGUUGCGGUUCCUUAUCUGGUGGAAGCCGGGUCGUUCGCUGACGGUUAUCGCCUUUUAAGCGCCAUGUUGCAGGUUCGAGUCCUGUCGUUACCC